UUGGAGGGCAAGUCUGGUGCCAGCAGCCGCGGUAAUUCCAGCUCCAAUAGCGUAUAUUAAAGUUGUUGCAGUUAAAAAGCUCGUAGUUGAAUUUCGGGAUUCAUCCGUUGGUCGGGCUUCACGGUCCGUACUGGUGUGAUGGGUUCCUACCUUCUGAAUAACCGGCAUGCCAUUAAUUUGGUGCGCCGGGGAAGCAGAACUAUUACCUUGAAAAAAUUAGAGUGCUUAAAGCAGGCAAGUGCCUGAAUAGGUUAGCAUGGAAUAAUAAAAUAGGACGGCAUGGUUCUAUUUUGUUGGUUUCUAGGAUCACCGUAUGAUUAAUAGGGAUAGUUGGGGGCAUUAGUAUUCAAUUGUCAGAGGUGAAAUUCUUGGAUUUAUUGAAGACUAACUUCUGCGAAAGCAUUUGCCAAGGAUGUUUUCAUUAAUCAAGAACGAAAGUUAGGGGAUCGAAGACGAUCAGAUACCGUCGUAGUCUUAACCAUAAACUAUGCCGACUAGGGAUCGGACGAUGUUAAUUUUUUAAUGACUCGUUCGGCGCCUUACGGGAAAC
rnacentral:rRNA from 1 species